GACGAACGCUGGCGGCGUGCUUAACACAUGCAAGUCGAACGGAAAGGCCCUGCUUGCAGGGUACUCGAGUGGCGAACGGGUGAGUAACACGUGGGUGAUCUGCCCUGCACUUCGGGAUAAGCCUGGGAAACUGGGUCUAAUACCGGAUAGGAGCCAUUUUUAGUGUGAUGGUUGGAAAGUUUUUUCGGUGUAGGAUGAGCUCGCGGCCUAUCAGCUUGUUGGUGGGGUAAUGGUCUACCAAGGCGGCGACGGGUAGCCGGCCUGAGAGGGUGGACGGCCACAUUGGGACUGAGAGACGGCCCAGACUCCUACGGGAGGCAGCAGUGGGGAAUAUUGCACAAUGGGCGCAAGCCUGAUGCAGCGACGCCGCGUGGGGGAUGACGGCCUUCGGGUUGUAAACUCCUUUCGCUAGGGACGAAGCUUUUUGUGACGGUACCUAGAGAAGAAGCACCGGCUAACUACGUG
rnacentral:rRNA from 1 species